rnacentral:rRNA from 1 species
CCUACGGGUGGCUGCAGUGGGGAAUAUUGGACAAUGGGGGAAACCCUGAUCCAGCGACGCCGCGUGAGUGAAGAAGUAUUUCGGUACGUAAAGCUCUAUCAGCAGGGAAGAAAAUGCCGGUACCUGACUAAGAAUCCCCGGCUAACUACGUGCCAGCAGCCGCGGGAAUACGUAGGGGGCAAGCGUUAUCCGGAUGUACUGGGUGUAAAGGGAGCGUAGACGGCAGCGCAAGUCUGGAGUGAAAUGCCGGGGCCCAACCCCGGAACUGCUUUGGAAACUGGCGAACUAGAGUGCGGGAGGGGUAAGCGGAAUUCCUAGUGUAGCGGUGAAAUGCGUAGAUAUUAGGAGGAACACCGGUGGCGAAGGCGGCUUACUGGACCGUAACUGACGUUGAGGCUCGAAAGCGUGGGGAGCAAACAGGAUUAGAUACCCUAGUAGUC